AACGAACGCUGGCGGCAUGCCUAACACAUGCAAGUCGAACGAGACCUUCGGGUCUAGUGGCGCACGGGUGCGUAACGCGUGGGAACCUGCCUUUAGGUUCGGAAUAACUCAGAGAAAUUUGAGCUAAUACCGGAUAAUGUCUUCGGACCAAAGAUUUAUCGCCUUUAGAUGGGCCCGCGUUGGAUUAGCUAGUUGGUGGGGUAAAGGCCUACCAAGGCGACGAUCCAUAGCUGGUCUGAGAGGAUGAUCAGCCACACUGGGACUGAGACACGGCCCAGACUCUACGGGAGGCAGCAGUGGGGAAUAUUGGACAAUGGGCGAAAGCCUGAUCCAGCAAUGCCGCGUGAGUGAUGAAGGCCUUAGGGUUGUAAAGCUCUUUUACCCGAGAUGAUAA
rnacentral:rRNA from 1 species